GACGAACGCUGGCGGCGUGCCUAAUACAUGCAAGUCGAACGAACCGCGACUGAGUGCUUGCACUUGGUCAAGGUGAGUGGCGAACGGGUGAGUAACACGUGGGUAACCUACCUCAUAGUGGGGGAUAACAGUCGGAAACGACUGCUAAUACCGCAUAGGACAUGGAAUCACAUGAUUCUGUGAGGAAAGGUGGCGCAAGCUAUCGCUAAGAGAUGGACCCGCGGUGCAUUAGCUAGUUGGUAGGGUAAGGGCCUACCAAGGCGAUGAUGCAUAGCCGACCUGAGAGGGUGAUCGGCCACAUUGGGACUGAGACACGGCCCAAACUCCUACGGGAGGCAGCAGUAGGGAAUCUUCCGCAAUGGACGCAAGUCUGACGGAGCAACGCCGCGUGAGUGAAGAAGGUCUUCGGAUCGUAAAGCUCUGUUGUUAGAGAAGAACAGCGCAUAGAGUAACUGUUAUGCGUGUGACGGUAGCUAACCAGAAAGCCACGGCUAACUACGUG
rnacentral:rRNA from 1 species